rnacentral:rRNA from 1 species
AAGCUCGUUGUUGAAUUUCGGGAUUAGUACGUCGGUCGUGCCUUAGGUACGUACUGGUGUUACUGGUUCCUACCUUCUGCGAACCAUCAUGUCAUUAAUUUGGUGUGGUGGGGAACCAGGACAGUUACUUUGAAAAAAUUAGAGUGUUUAAAGCAGGCUCGCGCUUGAAUACAUUAGCAUGGAAUAAUGAAAUAGGACGUUGAUCCUAUUUUGUUGGUUUCUAGGAUUGACGUAAUGAUUAAUAGGGAUAGUUGGG